AGAACUGAUAAUUCGAGCAAGUGGAAUGAAGGAGUAACGUCCUGAAACGCUUCCCCUGAUACUCCGACUGGCGUUCAUAGUAAUAUGGAGGUCAGAAGCUCGGUGAAGUCGGCAGAGAGUAACCGUAAUGAAAAAUAUAUUAAUUUUUCCACGAAAGCGGCUCAGAGGUGAGCUGUGUUACCUAUAUGCCGGGGGUCUAUAAA
rnacentral:ncRNA from 1 species